CCUACGGGAGGCAGCAGUGAGGAAUAUUGGUCAAUGGGCGGAAGCCUGAACCAGCCAAGCAGCGUGCAGGAUGACGGCCCUAUGGGUUGUAAACUGCUUUUAUACGGGAAUAAAGCCCCUUACGUGUAGCGCUUUGCGUGUACCCUAUGAAUAAGGACCGGCUAAUUCCGUGCCAGCAGCCGCGGUAAUACGGAAGGUCCGGGCUUUAUCCGGAUUUAUUGGGUUUAAAGGGAGCGUAGGCCGCAUGUCAAGCGUGCUGUGAAAUGUCCGGGCUCAACCCGGGCCUUGCAGUUGAAACUGGCGGGCUUGAGUCCGCGGAAAGCAGGCGGAAUGCGUGGUGUAGCGGUGAAAUGCUUAGAUAUGGCGAAGAACUCCGAUUGCGAAGGCAGCUUGCUGGAGCGAGACUGACGCUGAGGCUCGAAAGCGCGGGUAUCGAACAGGAUUAGAUACCCCAGUAGUC
rnacentral:rRNA from 1 species